GACGAACGCUGGCGGCGUGCUUAACACAUGCAAGUCGAACGGUAAGGCCCUUCGGGGUACACGAGUGGCGAACGGGUGAGUAACACGUGGGUGAUCUGCCCUGCACUUCGGGAUAAGCCUGGGAAACUGGGUCUAAUACCGGAUAGGACCCUGGGAUACAUGUCCUGGGGGGGAAAGCUUUUGCGGUGUGGGAUGGGGCCGCGGCCUAUCAGCUUGUUGGUGGGGUGAUGGCCUACCAAGGCGACGACGGGUAGCCGGCCUGAGAGGGUGACCGGCCACACUGGGACUGAGAUACGGCCCAGACUCCUACGGGAGGCAGCAGUGGGGAAUAUUGCACAAUGGGCGCAAGCCUGAUGCAGCGACGCCGCGUGAGGGAUGACGGCCUUCGGGUUGUAAACCUCUUUCAGCACCGACGAAGCGCAAGUGACGGUAGGUGCAGAAGAAGGACCGGCCAACUACGUGCCAGCAGCCGCCGUAA
rnacentral:rRNA from 1 species